rnacentral:rRNA from 1 species
AUGGCAGAUGCUCAGUUCUUGGCACUCUUCAAACACCAUGCAUUCUCUGGGCCAGAAAUCAGAAAUCCGCAGUUGCGCAAGAGGUUGGAAGAUUUUGCAGAUAAGAUUGCUAAAAGGCUUGGACAAUCUCCUUUGGCGGCAAAAGUUGUGGGUUCCCAGUUGAAAGGGGAAACAAAUAUCGUGGCAUGGAAGAAUGCUCUUACCAUACAGGUUGACAAAUUAAGUGAGCCCAUGAGAGCUCUGUUGUGGAGUUAUGAUAAGUUAGAUCCACGUCUACAUAGGUGCUUCCUAUACUGCAGCUUGUUUCCAAAAGGCCACAAGUAUGUCAUUGAUGAGCUGAUUCAUCUUUGGAUGGCUGAGGGCCUCAUAGAUUCAUGCAAUCAAAACAAGAGAGUUGAAGAUAUUGCGAGAGAUUACUUCAAGGAGAUGAUCUCUGUUUCGUUCUUUCAACCAUUUUAUAAGAAAUGCUAUGUUAUGCACGAUCUCCUUCAUGAUCUGGCAGAAUCACUCUCCAAGGAAGACUACUUCAGGUUGGAAGAUGAUAAGGUGAUGGAAAUUCCAUCCACUGUUCGACAUAUAUCUGUUUGUGUUGGUAGUAUGAUGCAACACAAGCAAAGUAUAUGCAAGCUACAUCAUUUACGCACUAUAAUCUGCAUAGAACCGCUUAUGGAAGAUGUAAGUGGCAUUUUUAAUCAGUUACUACAAAAUUUGAAGAAGUUGCGUGUACUAUAUUUGACAUCUUACAGCAGCAGUAAGUUGCCCGAAUCUGUUGGUAAGUUGAAGCACCUUCGGUAUUUGAACAUCAUCAGAACACUGAUUUUUGAAUUGCCAAGAUCAUUGUGUACUCUUUACCACUUGCAGUUACUUCUUUUUAGUCACAAAGUUGAGAGUUUGCCUGAGAAGCUGUGUGAUUUAAGAAAGUUACGGCAUCUUGAAUGUCAUGAUGAUACAAUAUACGCGUCAAGCGAAGAAGCACUGCCUCAAAUUCCUAACAUUGGCAUGCUAACUUCACUUCAACAACUCAAGGAAUUUUCUGUACAAAAUAAAAAUGGAUAUGAGUUGCAACAACUAGGGGACAUGAACCAGAUUCGUGGCAGUUUAUGUGUCACAAAUAUUGAGAAUGGCACGGGGAAGGAUCAAGCUUUAGAAUCAAAGUUGCAUCAGAAAAUUCAUCUUGGCAGCUUGCGACUUGUCUAG